CAAGUCUGGUGCCAGCAGCCGCGGUAAUUCCAGCUCCAAUAGCGUAUAUUAAAGUUGUUGCAGUUAAAAAGCUCGUAGUUGGAUUUCUGUUAAUAAUUUAUAUAAAAUAUUUUGAAUAUUUAUAUAACAUUAACAUAAUUCAUAUUACUAUAUUUUUUAGUAUAUGAAAUUUUACUUUGAGAAAAUUAGAGUACUUAAAGCAGGCAUAUGCCUUGAAUACUCCAGCAUGGAAUAAUAUUAAAGAUUUUUAUCUUUCUUAUUGGUUCUAAGAUAAGAAUAAUGAUUAAUAGGGACAGUUGGGGGCAUUUGUAUUUAACAGUCAGAGGUGAAAUUCUUAGAUU
rnacentral:rRNA from 1 species